rnacentral:rRNA from 1 species
CUUGACAUCCCGGAGACCCUUAGGAAACUAGGGGGUGCUUUCCAUCUGGAAGAAUCUGGAGACAGGUGCUGCAUGGCUGUCGUCAGCUCGUGUCGUGAGAUGUUGGGUUAAGUCCCGCACGAGCGCAACCCUUGCCUUUAGUUGCCAGCAGUUCGGCUGGGCACUCUAAAGGGACUGCCGGUGUUAAACCGGAGGAAGGUGGGGAUGACGUCAAGUCCUCAUGGCCUUUAUGACCAGGGCUACACACGUACUACAAUGGCCGAUACAAAGGGCAGCGACACUGCGAGGUGAAGCCAAUCCCGUAAAAUCGGUCUCAGUCCGGAUUGGAGUCUGCAACUCGACUCCAUGAAGUUGGAAUCGCUAGUAAUCGUGGAUCAGCAUGCCACGGUGAAUACGUUCCCGGGCCUU